rnacentral:rRNA from 1 species
CGGGGGGCAGCAGUGGGGAAUCUUGCGCAAUGGGGGAAACCCUGACGCAGCGACGCCGCGUGAGCGAUGAAGGCCUUAGGGUUGUAAAGCUCUGUGGAGAGAGACGAAUAAGUCGGGGUUAAUAGCUUCGAUGAUGACGGUAUCUCUUUAGCAAGCACCGGCUAACUCUGUGCCAGCAGCCGCGGUAAGACAGAGGGUGCAAACGUUGUUCGGAAUUACUGGGCGUAAAGCGCGUGUAGGCGGUCUUGUAAGUCGGCUGUGAAAGCCCGGGGCUCAACCCCGGAAGUGCACUCGAAACUGCAAGACUGGAGUCUCGGAGAGGGUCGUGGAAUUCUGGGUGUAGAGGUGAAAUUCGUAGAUAUCCAGAGGAACACCAGUGGCGAAGGCGGCGACCUGGACGAGUACUGACGCUGAGACGCGAAAGCGUGGGGAGCAAACAGGAUUAGAUACCCCAGU